GAUAAUAACGUUUGUAAAGGAGACUGAUAAUGGCAUGUACAACUAUACUAGUUGUAGUGCCUAAAUAAUGCUUUUAAAACUUAAAAAUAAUAUCGAUGUUAUCCAUAGUAACCUCGACUCUAUCUAUCAAUUGCUUAACUAUCCUAGAUUGAACAUCAUACGAAGAUUUUCUAAUGUCAAGGUUAUCCAUCAGCAUUCCAAGAGAGUCUUCGUUUUUCUUGUCUAAAUAAUUCAAUUUAAUUGCUUUGUUAUAAUCAUCUUUUAAAUGAUUGAGUUCUUCGAUGUCUUUUUUUAGUUUUGGUAGGUCAAUCAAAUCAUUAAUAUAUAAAUCGUUUAGACGAUUGAUUUUUUUAUCGAUUAUCUCUAUUUCUUUUUUUAAAGGUGUAAUAUCAAUUAUAUUGUCAUCUUUUUUUAUUUUUUUAAGAUAUUCUUUAUCGUGUUGAAGUUUAUAAAGAACAUCAAUAACAUAUUUUUCGAUGUGUUUUUUUUCAUAUCGACCAGUGUUACAAAUCUUUUGGUUAUUAUAAUUAUUAACACUUCGUCUAGCCAAACUUUCUGUUUUAUUAACACAAACGUAAGUUUGCCUUCUCGUACCAUCGUUCUUAGCUCUUCCUGUGCAUACUUUUAAAGGGGCACCACAAUAACCGCAUUUUGCUAUGUGAGAAAGCAUAUAUUUCCCUUGAAAAGGUCUAGUAUUUGUUUUCGUAUCUGUCCUAUGUGCUAAAGCUAUUUGCGCUUUAUUAUAUGUUUUUUCGUCGAUAAUGGCUUGAUGAUCACCUGAGAAAGUUUGUUCCCUAUACUUCACUAAUCCUUUAUAUGUUUCGUUUUCUAAUAUUCUUUUUACUUUUACAUGUGUCCACGUAUUCCCGACGAAAUUGUCUCUCGCGUAAUUUGUAAUUGACAUGAUUGAGCAGCCAGAGAUUAUCAUGUCAAACAUCUGCCUGACAUUAGCAGCCUCUAACUCGUUGACCGACAAUGUUUUUUCGUCUUUGUUGUAUCUAUAUCCAUAAGGUGGUGUUUUCCAAGCCGUUGUUUUUCCAGAUUUUGCUCUAUUCAUAACACCAAACUGCAUUCGCUCUUUAAUCUGUUCUCUUUCAAACUCUGCAAUAGCUGACAAGAGAGUGAGAAAGAGAUUUCCCAUUGCUGAAGAAGUGUCGAUAUUUUCUUUUAAGCUGACAAAAUGGAUAUUGUUAGCAGUAAAUACAUCUUUGACUAAGUAAAGUGUGUCUUUUACAUUUCUUGAUAGCCUGUCUAGUUUAUAGACUAAAAUAGUAUCAAAUUUAUUGUUUUUACCGUCUUCAAUCAAUUCUGUUAUUGCCGGUCGUUCAAGUUUACCGCCUGAAAAACCUGCAUCAGAGUAGUUUUUGUAAAUUUUCCAUUCCAUUGCCUCACAAUACUUUGUUAAAGCUUCAAUCUGUCCUUGAAUGGAAUAUCCUUCUUCGGCUUGAUUUAUUGUUGAUACUCUAGAGUAAAUAGCUACUUUUCUCAUUGUUUUUUACCUCA
rnacentral:antisense_RNA from 1 species